AAAACUUUCAACAACGGAUCUCUUGGUUCCGGCAUCGAUGAAGAACGCAGCGAAAUGCGAUACGUAAUGUGAAUUGCAAAUUCAGUGAAUCAUCGAGUCUUUGAACGCACAUUGCGCCCCCUGGUAUUCCGGGGGGCAUGCCUGUCCGAGCGUCAUUU
rnacentral:rRNA from 7 species